AUCCCUUUUCACACCUUCCCUUUCCAAAUAACCAACCUGCCUCUAUUUAAUUUUCACCCACAGGGCUCAGUUUUGUUGAUUUGACCUCAGUGGCAGCCAACAAAUCAGCACCUCCCUAUCUCUUGGGGUUUCACCUAAAUGGAGUUUCCAAUGCUCCUGUUUCAUUUCCUGAAAUGCCUAGUCGUUUUUUCUGGUUCCUGUUGGAUUACUGCAGUCCCAGUGUGCUCAAAACUAGCCACUUAAUUUGACCAAAAGUGAUGGAUGAAGUUCUCCUGAGUCAUCUCUGAACACUGGAAUGGCUGUGUGAGAAAGAGUAAGGAAGCGCAUUAACUGAGCAUGGCCACACUCUUGAGGGAGUAUGUUGUCACCAGUCUGUAUCUUCUCCCAGCUUUCCAGUGCACCAGUGUUAGCAGAUCCCUGUUGGAGCAAAAGAGGCACAAGAGCCCUGGGGCACCUGGAGUACAGCCUUGAGGUCCCACAGCAGCACAUAGCACAUCUGCCAGAGCUCUGCUGCUCACUUUGCAGCCUGCUGGGUGUUUGUUACCUCUUCCCAGAAACAAUCUUCUUUCUGUGGAGAAGAAAGAUGUUUUAAAUUCCAAACAUUGUAAGGCUCCAAAGAAUCAAUCCAGGAGAUAAACCAACAAAUUCUUCUGAAGACAUUAUUGUUACUAUAGAAACAUGUCUACAUCCAGAGCUUCACUGAGACACACAGCAGCAGGUGUUGAGGAGGAACUCUGCCCUGCACUGCACCCAGUGUGUCCCCAGCCUGGUGCUGCUGGAGCCCAGGACUCCCCCUGGACCUGCCCAGCCCAGGCACAUCACAUCCCAGGGUCACCUGGACCACUAAGGGCAGCAUGCUGCUCCAGAGGAGGCUCCUCUCCACCCACCAUGAAGAAGGUAAAAUUAUGUAAAAUUAUCCAAAAACUGACACAAUUUCAACCAGAGUUAAAUUUUCUUGAAAGGCCCUUUACAGGGUUUAAUAAAGAUUAAAGCAGUAGACUGUCUGAAAAUCUAUUGCCACAACUACAGAAGUUAAUACAGAGUACCUUCUCUACUGAGAUAUUUCAAGAACAUCAAUUUAAAAUGCAAUUGGAAAGAUGAUUUAAGUUCCCUAUGGAUAUUCAGAGAACUUUCUAAGGAGAUCUGCCAUGGAGAAAACCCAUUAACUUUUAUAUCAGACUCUCUAGGAAUCUCCCAUAAAUUGAUUAGCAUUCAAACCAGAAAGUACAUGACUUUGUUUCCUCUGAGGAGUUUAUUUCUAGCCCUCCCCUGCCUCUUAGUCCUAAAAUGCCUUUAGAAACUAAUCUAAAAAGAUACUAAAAAUUGGGUUUCUGCCAAAGUCAUAAUUAAUAGUCAAGCAACCAGACUAACAUACUCGCCUCACUUUU